rnacentral:rRNA from 1 species
UACGGAGGGAGCUAGCGUUGUUCGGAUAUACUGGGCGUAAAGCGCACGUAGGCGGGUCUUUAAGUCAGGGGUGAAAUCCUGGAGCUCAACUCCAGAACUGCCUUUGAUACUGAAGAUCUUGAGUUCGGGAGAGGUGAGUGGAACUGCGAGUGUAGAGGUGAAAUUCGUAGAUAUUCGCAAGAACACCAGUGGCGAAGGCGGCUCACUGGCCCGAUACUGACGCUGAGGCACGAAAGCGUGGGGAGCAAACAGG